CUCGACUUUCCCUAAAAACUGUUGGAAUGCUCUUCCAGAGGACCAGGAUCAGGAUUUUAGAAGCUUUCAAAAAGUAUUUUAACAAGAGAUUUUUUGUAGAGCCAGAUGUUAGUUGUGCGGUAAAAUGAAGUAGGUACUCUGCAGGGUAGAAUAGUGGAGGAGAGUGGAAGCCCCAUUAGAACAUCACUAUUUCUGAACACUCCAACCAUACAUACAACAGACUUCCUCUGCCUGUAGCGCAGCGCCAAUAAG